rnacentral:misc_RNA from 1 species
CUGAGUUUUGGGUUUCCUUUUGGAGCCCGAUCUCCCACCCUUUGUUAAACUACAUUUGUUGCUUUGGCAGGCCUGUGGACUCCUUUUCACGAAGGGGAAGACUGCCGGAGGUUCUCGAACCUCUGGAUCGUUUUGCCUGCCAGUAGCCUCUUCAAAUUCUUUUUUUUAUAACCAUGUCGUCUGAAUCUUUAAAUGAAUUAACAUUUA